AGUCUGCUGGGACAAAGCUACACGCCCAAGGUUGCUUGUGUUAGUCUAUUCCCUGAAGUUUCUCUGAUGGGAACUUAAAUUUCCACUGGAAAGAAGUCGUUUUUUUGCCAUUUGAAUAUGAAAUGGCUUUAUAUGUUGAACUUUUGAGCCCUCCAUGGUUUCAAAUUUUUGGAAAGUUCUGUAAACUUUGAAGAUGAUAUCUGGUUCCCAGUCUCUUCUUCCGUCCAUCACAAGAUGAAUGGCCACCUCCUGCACAGGCUCCAGCUGCCACAGAGUCUCAGCAGACUGGAAGAGGCCACAGUCCAUGGACCCAGGAGCUAAAAUAAACCAGUUUUUCUCAGAAAGCAAAGGUGAUGGUUAGCAUUAAUUGUCAAGUUGACCGGAUCUAGAGUCAAGCCUCUGGCGGUGCCUGAGACGAUUAUCUAGAUCCACCCCGAAUAUCACUCGACCAUAGCAUGGGCCGGAUGCUGAAUUGCAUAAAACGGAGAAGCGAGAGGAGCACCAGCAGUCAUCACUAGUCAUCACUCUCUGUUACCGGACCAGCCGAUGCCACGUGACCAGCCACCUCACGCUCUGGCCACCAUGCCUUCCUGCCUGCUGCCAAGUCAUCCCCACCAGGCUGGAAGAUCUCCCAGAACCCUGUCCUGUGACAAACCCUCGCCAUCACUUAGUUUAAUUCCCAUUUAAUAUAAUGUCAAGAUAAAGACUGGGAAUUCAUGGGCUUGACCUGUGGACAGUGCCGUGCAAAUGUGGGAGAAUAAAAUAUCCCUGAGCUCGCCCUCAGUGGCAAAGAUUUUAUUUAUUUUCUUCAGAGUGGGUGUCUGGUGAUUUUUUUUUCUUUCCGGUUGUUGUUAUUGUACUCGUUGGAGCAUUAAAUUUAGAAAGCAGUGUGACCUGUCACAGCUGGAGCCAGCAGGAUCAUGAGAUGAUGUAACCUGGACACACAGGCCUUUCUGCCUGUAUGUUCAAGACCCAUUACUUGGGCUGGAGAGAUGGCCCAGUGGUAGGGUGCUUGCCGCUUGUGCACAGGACCAGAGUUUGGUUGCCAGCACCCACAUCAGACGGCUCACAACUGCCUGAAACUCCAGCCCUGGGAGACCUGAUGCUCUCCUCUAGCCUCUGAGGGCACCUGCAUGCAUAUGCACACUAGUACACACACAUACACACUAAUAAACAUAUGCACACU